CUUCUUGCCGCCGCCCCCAGCCGCGCGCGGCCGCUUCCUCUUGCAGUUUCUCGCGCCUCCGGCCGCGCCCAGCGCGCACCGCUCCUCGUCGCCGUCGGGGUCCUCCUCCUCGGCCGAAGAGUUGUCACUGCGCGAGAGCUUCCAAUCCAGAUGAUGAAUCAUCACUGUCCUGGGAAUAUGUGGAAACACAUUAGAACCAAGAUAAUAAGGAGCCAGCAACAUUUCUUCUUUCUCCAACAUGGUGCCCUCUGAGACAGCCAGAAAUUGAGCGCCGGGAGGAGGUAAUAGAAGGCGAGAAACAGAGAAACACCUGCAGCACUGCUUCACCACUUGCAAAGCUCUCCCCCUGCAGGUGGUGUGAAGCUGCAAGGACAGGCGUAAGGAUCCUGGUUCGAGCCCGGGGCUCCCCACCUGCAGGGGAGUCACUUCGGUGAAGAAAGUCUGCAGGUGUCUAUCUUUCUCUCCCCCUCUCUAUCUUCCCCUCCUCUCUCCAUUUCUUUCUGUACUAUGCAACAACGACAGCAUCAAUAACAACAACAACAAUAACUACAACAACAAUAAAAAAGGGCAACAUAAGGGAAAAUAAAUAAAAAAAAUUUUUUAAAAAAGCGUAUUAGUUCAUUUGACAGCUGAGACUUUGACCAUCUCUCUCCCUUCCAAAGUCACAGUUCUGCUACUUCCUCUC